rnacentral:lncRNA from 13 species
AAGGGAGUGAUGUCCUGUUAGCUACUGAUUAGAAGCAAGUCAUGGGCCAGGUGCAGUGGCUCACGCCUGUAAUCUCAGCAUUUUAGGAGGUCAAAGUGGGUGGAUCACUUGAGUCCAGGAGUUCGAGACUAGUCUGGGCAACAUAGUAGACCCCUGAGUCUACAAAAAAAAUACAAAUAAUAAUUGGCAUGGUGGCACACCCUGUGGUCCCAGCUACUUGGGAGGCUGAAAUGGGAGAAUUUCUUGAGCCUAGGAGUUCCAGACUACAAUGAGCUAUGCUUGCAUCACUACACUCCAGCCUGGGAGACAGAGUGAGACCCUGUCUCAAAACUAGGGAGUGGGUGGGAAAUGGCGUGGAUGGAGUCCUGGCUCACACUCAAAGGAGGCAGGGCAGGUGUAUUACUCAGGUGUUACACCAGGUGGCAAAGAGAAAACUUCCCAGAUGCUCUGGAAGAACAGUGGCCAAGCAAAAUUCUCCCGGAGGGCAGAGUCUGCGACAGCAUUUCUGGCUGGCCAGGAGUCCACGCCUUCCGCGUGUCGGGAUCUCCACUGGGCGUCUGGAGCUCUUCGCUGGAGAGUCGGCCUCUGCCCUAGUGCCGAGUGAGCUGGAGAAAACAGGAGUGGGAGCACAGGCUGAGGACACACAGGUCACGGCUGUCGCACUGAAGGCAUGGAGCUGACGGGAGCUCCAGGGGCACAGGACGGCGUCCGGAUAGGCGAGGGCCUUUGGGUGGCAGGAGAUGGGAGGGCAUUCAAGAAGGAACAGCUUCUGCGGAGCUGCAAGGUGAGAGAGUGAAGGUGGUGGGCCUGUGCUCUUCUCUGCGAAGCCAGCCUUGGGCGUCCUUGCGUUGCUGGGGCCUUGGGGCAGGUUUUUGAGCCUCUGUUGGCUAAUGCGCGCCCUCUAGUGGCAUUUUAUGGCAGCCAAUUCAGUCCUUACCUUUGGGAAAGUUGUACAUCCCAUUACAAUAUGAAAGCUAUGCGUUUCUUUCCCCAAAUCCACACUUCUGAAAAUGCACGCACAGUUUUGCUGAAAAUCUGUAAAUAAGAAGAUCAAUGAAAGGACAACCCCACCGACGAGACCUUGAAAGAAAAAAAAAAACACACAUGACUACAGACCCUUCCCGGGUCCCCAUGGGGGCAAGGCAGGUAAUCUACCCAUUGGCCAAGAGAAUAUUUUUUAAUGGCACUUAAUUUGCAGAUACAUAAAAGUGUCCUGUUAAAAUAAAGCCAAUUUUAAAAGGGGCUCA